rnacentral:rRNA from 1 species
AUACGGAGGGUGCGAGCGUUAAUCGGAAUUACUGGGCGUAAAGCGUACGUAGGCGGUUGGUUAAGUUAGAUGUGAAAGCCCCGGGCUUAACCUGGGAACUGCAUUUAAAACUGGCGAACUAGAGUUGAGUAGAGGGGAGUGGAAUUUCAGGUGUAGCGGUGAAAUGCGUAGAGAUCUGAAGGAACACCAGUGGCGAAGGCGACUCCCUGGACUAAAACUGACGCUGAGGUACGAAAGCGUGGGUAGCAAACAGGAUUAGAUACCCCGGUAGUCC